UACGUAGGGGGGCAAGCGUUGUCCGGAUUUAUUGGGCGUAAAGAGCGUGUAGGCGGCCAGGUAGGUCGGCUGUGAAAACUCGAGGCUCAACUUCGAGCUGUCGGUGGAAACUUUCUGGCUAGAGUCCGGAAGAGGAGAAAUGGAAUUCCUGGUGUAGCGGUUGAAAUGCGCAGAUAUCAGGAAGAACACCCGUGGCGAAGGCGGUUCUCUGGGACGGUACUGACGCUGGGAGAACGU
rnacentral:rRNA from 1 species